AAGGAGGCAGCAGUGAGGAAUAUUGGGCAAUGGGCGCAAGCCUGACCCAGCCAUGCCGCGUGCAGGAUGACGGCGCUAUGCGUUGUAAACUGCUUUUAUUCGGGAAGAAACCCAUCUACGUGUAGGUGGUUGACGGUACCGAAAGAAUAAGCAUCGGCUAACUCCGUGCCAGCAGCCGCGGUAAUACGGAGGAUGCGAGUGUUAUCCGGAUUCAUUGGGUUUAAAGGGUGCGUAGGCGGAAUAUUAAGUCAGCGAUGAAAUCCUGCAGCUUAACUGUAGAACUGUCAUUGAUACUGGUAUUCUUGAAUGCAGUUGAGGUAGGCGGAAUGUGUAAUGUAGCGGUGAAAUGCUUAGAUAUUACACAGAACACCGAUUGCGAAGGCAGCUUACUAAACUGUGAUUGACGCUGAGGCACGAAAGCGUGGGGAGCAAACAGGAUUAGAUACCCCGGUAGU
rnacentral:rRNA from 1 species